UACGUAGGGUGCGAGCGUUAAUCGGAAUUACUGGGCGUAAAGCGUGCGCAGGCGGUUUUGUAAGUCAGACGUGAAAUCCCCCGGCUUAACCUGGGAACUGCGUCUGAUACUGGGAGGCUUGAGUAUGGGAGAGGGAUGUAGAAUUCCAGGUGUAGCGGUGAAAUGCGUAGAUAUCUGGAGGAAUACCGGUGGCGAAGGCGGCAUCCUGGACCAUAACUGACGCUGAGGCGCGAAAGCUAGGGGAGCAAACGGG
rnacentral:rRNA from 1 species